rnacentral:lncRNA from 1 species
UUUUCUUUUGGGGAUGUGGUUUUUGUUUUCCUCAAACAAGGGUGAUAUUUUUCAUACCAAUCAAACACAUUCUUAAAAUUGGUUUGGCCUCUAUUAAUUUUCAUUUUAUUUUUUUCUCUCCUAUUUUCAAUUACACAAUCUUCUAUAAAAUGAUAUUACAUAUAAAUAAAAAAACUCUUCUUUUUUCAAUCAGUCAUUUAAAAAAAAAAAAAUACUAUUCUACCCAUUUUCAUUUCUACAAAAUGGGGCAAGCCUGGGCUUAGAGAAAAUGACAUUUCGAUUUUCAUGGUGAAAAGAGGUGGUGGCUGUUAUCUUUUUAUGGUGGUAAAAGUACUUUGAUUAGUAGCUUCAAGUCGUGUCAGCCCGACCCAUAUCAGGGCGGCCCUAAGCAAGAUCGGAUAUGAGGCUGGCCCCAGAAGUAGGCAAGUAGCCGCCUCAAGCCCAUAGUUUUUCAAGAGGUUUGUUUUGGAAAUUUUAAAAUAUUUAUGUAUAAGACAUAAAAUGUUAGUUUGGUGAUAUUAAAGUCUUAG